CUCCCUACAUCAGGCUAUCCCAUGGCCCAAUGGCUACAGCACUCACCUGAGAGGUGGCAGACCCCUGUUCAAAUCCAUUCUCCCCGUAAGGUGGAAGGAGGAUUUCAGCUGCGGUUUCCUACAUCCCAAGGGAAAGCUUGGUGAGCUCCAAGAUGGAAAGGAGAGCAUGUCCACUGAAGAGUGAAACAAGCAUGAUGGUGAUUCUCCCUGGGUUAUGAAAGCCAGUUUUAUCAGAAAGAGCUCCAGUUCCAUCACUGUCACUUGUGAUUAUUAGAACAGAAAGCCCCAUAUCUUUGUCAGAUGGUCAUCUCCUGUGUACUUCAUCUCUGGAAUGAAAAUGAGAGAUGUUCAUUAGGAAAGCUCAUGAGAAAC